UACGUAGGGUCCAAGCGUUAAUCGGAAUUACUGGGCGUAAAGCGUGCGCAGGCGGUUGUGUAAGCCAGAUGUGAAAUCCCCGGGCUUAACCUGGGAACUGCAUUUGUGACUGCAUGGCUGGAGUGCGGCAGAGGGGGAUGGAAUUCCGCGUGUAGCAGUGAAAUGCGUAGAUAUGCGGAGGAACACCGAUGGCGAAGGCAAUCCCCUGGGCCUGCACUGACGCUCAUGCACGAAAGCGUGGGGAGCAAACAGG
rnacentral:rRNA from 1 species